rnacentral:rRNA from 1 species
AGAGUUUGAUCCUGGCUCAGGAUGAACGCUAGCGGCAGGCUUAACACAUGCAAGUCGAGGGGUAGAGGAAGCUUGCUUCCUUGAGACCGGCGCACGGGUGCGUAACGCGUAUGCAAUCUACCUUAUACAGGGGGAUAGCCAGGGAAUUUGGAUUAAUACCCCAUAGUAUAAUUGAAUGGCAUCAUUUGAUUAUUAAAGUUCCAACGGUAUAAGAUGAGCAUGCGUCCCAUUAGCUAGUUGGUGUGGUAACGGCACACCAAGGCGACGAUGGGUAGGGGUCCUGAGAGGGAGAUCCCCCACACUGGUACUGAGACACGGACCAGACUCCUACGGGAGGCAGCAGUGAGGAAUAUUGGUCAAUGGGCGCAAGCCUGAACCAGCCAUGCCGCGUGCAGGAUGGCGGUCCUAUGGAUUGUAAACUGCUUUUGUACAGGAAGAAACACUCCCUCGUGAGGGAGCUUGACGGUACUGUAAGAAUAAGGAUCGGCUAACUCCGUG